rnacentral:tRNA from 1 species
GUCUCCUGUAGUUCAGUGGUAGAGCGUCCGACCGGUGUGCGGAAGUUCAUAGCUUCGAUUCCUGGUGGGAACU